AGAGAUUCUGAGCCAGUGGCAGUAGGAGAUUAAGAAACACAGUGAGCAUUGGCAACACAAGGCUUGGUGCGAUAUCCAGGUGGACAACCAUGUAAUUUUUAUCACCGUUCAACCGUAUGGACAGAGAGUCCACAAUGAGUGCAUUGAGGACGAUCACGAUGCUUAGGCGUGGAGGUCGACGACCAGAGGUGGCAAAUGUCAUCAGGAAAAGGUGAAGUUGCAUAAGGCAUAAUAUCAUUAGAAGUAGUUGCAAUGAAACGAUGACGUAUGAUGAGUCAAUGAGAAGACUUUGCCAAUUGGAGGAAGAAAAUUUAACCUCGAGAAUACCGGUAAGAGUCAUGUAAGCCCAUAAAGAAGGUCUUGAUAUACUCAAUUUCGUAAUUAAGUUUUCAAUCGAGCAACAUCGCCACAAGUACAAGCACCGCAUAUGCAACGAGGAAGAAAAGAGGAAACCUUAUCCCAUAAGUCUUUCAGACGA